AAAAAAAAAACUAUUAUAUAUAUAUUGUCCUAUUUCACAUAUUAUAUAUUAUUGAUAUAUAAUAAUUAUAAUACUACAAUUAAAUAUUAUUAUUAUAAUUAUAUUUAUAAAUAAAAUAUAUUUAAAAUAUAUUAUAAAAUAAGAAUGUAAUAUAAUAUAUAAUAAUAUAUUUAAUAUCACGCCCCGGAUUACUUGUUUUCCCGGGCACGCUACAGACCCACCGUAUAUAUAGAAAUUUUUUCUAUAUAUGAAGCGAUAGUUGUACCUGUACCUGUAAUCAUACAAUACUACAACCAGUAGUAUAGAGCGGCUAACAAGAAAUAUAUAAAUAUAAACAACAUCGGUUCAAAUACAUACAUAGUAUCCUAAUACAAAAAUCACUCGCUCCAGCGAGGAGCUAACAUCAGUAUGUACAAGAACAAAAAACUAACACUACCUGUAGCUGGUAUAUCUCUAGAUCAGCAGCAACACGGAAACAGAUCUAACUCGCGACUUCCUUUCCACGCUCGGUAUCCGCGACAGCAGCAGCCGAAGAAGAGGGCUCUGCAAAAAUGAUCGACAACUGGGUGUGAGAACUACUGCAAAAAGAAAUAGUCCUCAGUGGGUACCGCUACCGACCUCAACGGCUCACCCACUAAGUUAUAGAGGUAAGCAAUGAUAGUAAAGAAAGCUGGAACAAUCUACAAGUAUAUGCCACUAUACUAUCGUGAUCCAACACUAACUAUCUGUAAAAAAUACAAAUCCUGACCCAAUCUCAUUAGGAACUAUGAACACACCCGUCCCGCCUGCCGAAGCUACACUAACUACCAUCACGCUA
rnacentral:lncRNA from 1 species